GGGUAGAGCCGUUAGGGGAGUUGGGGCACCGCCCCCUGUCACGCACAGAGCAGGGCGGAUCAGGGGGUUUGGGCGCUGCCCCCUGUCAAGCUGCUCCAGGGGCCAGGAGGCCUCGCUGCUCCUCUGAUCCUGGUGCCGGGAGGCCUCGCAGCUCCGCUGAUCCCGGUGCUGGGAGGUAUGUUACCCUUUUACUAUAUAGGAUAGAGGCCUGGUGCAUGGGUGGGGGCCGGCUGGUUUGCCCUGGAUGGUGUCCUGUAUCAGGUUGGGGGUCCCGCUUGGGUGCCAGGCCAGCCUGGAUGAGGGGAUGAUGGCCGUUUGCAGCUGGUCACACCCCCUUCAGGGUGGGGGUCCCCACUGGGGUGCCUGGCCAGUCUGGGUGAGGGGCUGAGGGCCGUUUUCAGGCUGGCGGGUGACUGAAGCUCCCAACCUCUCCUUUUUUUUUUUUUUUUUUUUAUUCUGGGAUUUAUUUACCUUCUAUGGCUGUCACUGGAACUGAGAGCCGGCUUCAGCUCUGAGGCUUGGCUCCAGCUCUGAGGCCUCGGCUGCUGAAAGCAGAUAUCUGGUUUGUUUGGGUUCUAUAAUUGAAACUCUGUUGCAACUCCAGUUCGGCUGGCUGGCUGAAAGCAUGGGAUUUGUUUAGCUUCCAUAAUUGUAACAUUGUUGCUUAGAGUGCAGCUCAGAGCCCAGCAGCGGCAGGCGGGGAACCUUGGCUUCCUCCUUCACUGGAGCAAGCAAGCCUCCUGUUCACUUCAGCUGCCUGGCUGCCGGCCGCCAUCUUGGUUGGCAGUAAUUUGCAUAUCGCCCUGAUUAGCCCAUGGGAAGCGUGUCAGAGGUAUGGUUAAUUACCAUGUUUGUCUAUAAUUAGAUAGGAUAGUAAGUUCUUUUGAAACUUAGUGAAUUCACAAAAUAGUGAUAUACCACAUUCAUGGAUGUAAAGAAUAUUAACACAUUGUAUGCGGGAAACGUAUUUAUACGUUUUACGUAUUUAUACGUUCUACCAGUGUAGUAGAGCGCAGGACACAUAUUAAUACGUUUUUUAUAGACUAGCGGUAGAAUGCGGGUAACAUAUAAAUACGUAAACUAAAGUUAUCGUAAUUUUACCGAACGUUGCCAUUUGCACAAAAAAUUAGCAAAAAUGGCCUGUUAGCGCACGAUAAAAACUACCCGCAAACAAUGUGUUAAAUGCCUUAAAAAUGUUUGCAAAACAGAAGUUUAACAAUUCUAACAAGUAUAAUACCCUCAAGGAAAGUAGUAAAAAUCAAAAAGUUUUGAACAACAGGUCAGAUUUAACAAAAGUACAAUUAUGAGUCUUAAAAUGGGGGCUGCAAAAUUUUGCAUUAAGACAACUUAAAACUGUUUUAAAGAGCUCAUAUCUAAGGGAAAUAUUCAGAUUUAUUUUAUAAUGGAAGGACAAAUCACAAAAAAAUACAAAUAAUCAAAAAAAUUAAGUAGGCAAUUUACAAAACUAUGGCUUUGUUUUUGCCUCAUGAUGAGAAUUUGAAAAUAUUUGCAUCCUGCCAAGCCUAACUCUGCUGCCUUGUACCAGAUUCAUUUUUUACUAUCCCAUAAUUCCACAAUUGGAUAUUUUAAAUUCUUGGUAAAUGUUAAGUAGAUAGAAAAUAAGUCUAUAGAACAGGGGUGGGCAAACUUUUUGACUUGAGGGCCACAUGGGUUCUUAAACUGGACCGGAAGGCCGGAACAAAAGCAUGGAUGGAGUGUUUGUGUGAACUAAUAUAAAUUCAAAGUAAACAUCAUUACAUAAAAGGGUAUGGUCUUUUAUUUCAAUACUUUUAUUCAUUUCAAACGGGCCAGAUCCGGCCCGUGGGCCGUAGUUUGCCCACGGCUGCUAUAGAAGAUGUAACAUUUUCAACCAACUUGACCUAGUAAACAUAUGUAGAAUAUAUCACCCACCAACAUAAGAAGACAUUCUUUUCAAGUGCACAAAGAUUAUUCUCCAGCCCUGAUCAGUUUGGCUCAGUGGAUAGAGCGUCGGCCUGGGGAAUGCAGGGUCUGGGUUGACCACUUGCUUGUAUCCCUGCCAUUCAUUUCUGAAAGCUUCUAAACAGAAAAUUCAGUCCCGCCAGUAUGGCUCAGUAGUUGAGUGUUGAGUGUUGACCCAUGAACCAAGAAGUCACCAGUUCAAUUCCAGUCAGGGCAGUUGCCCCAGUUGCAGACUCAAUCCCCAGUAAGGGGUAUGCAGGAGGCAACUGAUCGAUGUUUCUCUCUUGGCAAUGUUUCUCUCUCUUCCUCUCCCUUCCUUUCUCUCUCAAAAAAUCAAUAAAAACAUAUUUAAGAAGAAAAAGAUAAUUCAGCCCUGGCUGGGUUGCUCAGUUGUUGGAGCAUCAUCCUGAUAGGCCAGAGUUGUAGGAUCCCUGUUCAGGGCACAUGCAGGAAUCAACCAGUGAAUGCAUAGAUGGGUGGAGUGGCAUCUCUCUCUGUCUCUCUCUCAUCCCCACUUCUCUCUCUCUCUCUCUCUCUCUAAAAAUCAGUAAAAUAAAAUAAGCCCUAGUUGGCUAGCUCAGUUGAUUGAAGUGUCUUCCCAGUAUGACAAGGCUGUAAAAUUGAUCCCAGCUUAGGACACAUAUAAGAAACAACCAAUUAAUGCAUAAAUAAGUGGGACAACAAAUCUCUCUCUCUCUCUCUCUCUCUCUCUCUCUCUCUCUCUCUCUCUCUCUCUCUCAUCUAUAAAUUUUGAAAACUAAACAUAAAUGAAUUAAAGAAAA